rnacentral:lncRNA from 1 species
GCCAUGGCCGCCUCCACCAUGUCUGUCUGCUCUGAUGCUCGCACCAACUCCUCCUGGCAGGUGGACGACUGCCCAGAGAGCUGCUGUGAGCCCUGCAGCUGUGCCCCCAGCUGCUGCCAGCCCAGCUGCUGUGCUCCUUGCUGUGCCCCCAGCUGCUGUGUCCCCAGCUGUUGCCAGCCCAGCUGCUGUGCCCCAACCCCUUGCCUCCUCUGCACCCCAAUGAGCUGUGUGUCCAGCCCCUGCUGCCAGUCUUCCUGCUGCACACCCUCAUGCUGCCAGCAGUCUAGCUGCCAGCCAGCUUGCUGCACCUGCUCCCCCUGCCAGCAGCCCUGUGGUGUGACCCUUUGCUGCAAGCCUGUCUGCUGUGUGCCAGUCUGCUGUGGUGCUUCCUCCUCAUGCUGCCAGCAGUCUAGCUGUGAGCCCUCUUGCUGCACCUCCUCCCCCUGCCAGCAGCCCUGUGGUGUGACCCUUUGCUGCAAGCCUGUGUGCUGCACACCCAUCUGCUCUGAAUCCUGCUGCCAGCAGUCUAGCUGCCAGUCCUCCUGCUGCCAGCCCUCCUGCUGUGUGCCUGUCUGCUGCAGGCCUGUGUGCUGCACACCCAUCUGCUCUGCCUCCUCCUCCUCCUGCUGCCAGCCCUCCUGCUGUGCUCCUGUGUGCUGCAAGCCUGUGUGCUGCAAGCCCUGCUCCAGCCUGUCCCUGCUGUGCAGCCCUGUGUGCAGACCUGCCUGCUGUGUGCCUACCUCCUCCUGCUGUGCCUCCUCCUGCCAGCCCAGCUGCUGUCGCCCAGCCUCCUGUGUGUCCCUGCUGUGCCGCCCUGCCUGCUCCAGACAGGCCUGCUCUGGACAGAAGUCCAGCUGCUGAU